rnacentral:rRNA from 1 species
AACGAACGCUGGCGGCAUGCCUAACACAUGCAAGUCGAACGGGAUCUUCGGAUCUAGUGGCGCACGGGUGCGUAACGCGUGGGAAUCUGCCCUUGGGUGCGGAAUAACUUCUCGAAAGGGAUGCUAAUACCGCAUAAUGUCGUAAGACCAAAGAUUUAUCGCCCAAGGAUGAGCCCGCGUAAGAUUAGCUAGUUGGUGGGGUAAAAGCCUACCAAGGCGACGAUCUUUAGCUGGUCUGAGAGGAUGAUCAGCCACACUGGGACUGAGACACGGCCCAGACUCCUGCGGGAGGCAGCAGUGGGGAAUAUUGGACAAUGGGCGAAAGCCUGAUCCAGCAAUGCCGCGUGAGUGAUGAAGGCCCUAGGGUUGUAAAGCUCUUUUACCCGGGAUGAUAAUGACGGUACCUACAGAAGAAGCCCCGGCUAACUUCGUGCCAGCCGCCGCCGUAACAC